AUCUAAUAAAGGUCGGAAGGAAUU
rnacentral:siRNA from 1 species